AGAGUUUGAUCAUGGCUCAGGACGAACGCUGGCGGCGUGCCUAACACAUGCAAGUCGAACGAGAAAGUGGAGCAAUCCAUGAGUACAGUGGCGAACGGGUGAGUAACACGUGACUAACCUGCCUUCGAGUGGGGGAUAACCUCGGGAAACCGGGGCUAAUACCGCAUAAGAUCCUGAGGGUGCAAUUCCCAUGGGACCAAAGGGGUAAGACGCUUGAAGAGGGGGUCGCGGCUGAUUAGCUAGUUGGUGAGGUAACGGCUCACCAAGGCGAAGAUCGGUAGCCGGCCUGAGAGGGCGCACGGCCGCACUGGAACUGAAACACGGUCCAGACUCCUACGGGAGGCAGCAGUGGGGAAUUUUGCGCAAUGGGGGAAACCCUGACGCAGCAACGCCGCGUGGAGGAUGAAGCCCUUUGGGGCGUAAACUCCUUUCGAUCGGGACGAUUAUGACGGUACCGGAUGAAGAAGCACCGGCUAACUCUGUGCCAGCCGCCGCGGUAAUUC
rnacentral:rRNA from 1 species